GCCGGCGUAGCUCAACGGCAGAGCAGCUGAUUUGUAAUCAGCAGGUUGCGGGUUCGAAUCCUGCCGCCGGCUCCA
rnacentral:tRNA from 1 species